AAGCUUCUUUUUGCGUAUGGGGGAUAGUAGUACUUUUUUUUUGUUCUUCUGCUUUAACAAGAAAAACAUUGGCGUAGUAGAUUUGUCCUGAAACGGACUGAUGAGUGAAACGACAAAAUAAAGAUUGAUUGUGAAACCGUAGAAGAUGAGUUUUUAUUAAAAUUGAGUCCGUGCAAUGAAUGUCGAAGAAGAAGAAUCAUUGGAAGUCAGGCAAAGAAAUGAAAUCCAGGCGCUACAAGCCAUUUUCACAAGUGAUUUUUUUGCAGUGAAUUUGUCAUCUAUUAGUGAGAAAUGGUCUCCCCCAGAAUAUAUUUUGCUGUUAAAACCUCAAAAAGGAUUAUCACAAGAUGAAGUACAUGCAACAGUACAGUUACGUGUAAAAUUUCCUUGUGAUUACCCCCAGUCACAUCCAUCCAUUAAACUGGAAAAUGGAGAGGGGAUCUCUUCCAAAGAUAU